UGUCUGGUUAAUAUUCCAAGCUAGACAUCUAAAAGGCUCUUGAUUUUAGAAUUAUUGGAGCAAUUAUCUAAUGAAAGAUCUAUACUUACUGCAGUCGUUCACUUGGAUGCUGCUGUGUAGCCGGUAAAUAUUCAAAUUUUCAAGAUUACAACCCAACUUUAAUGUUUUUAAACUUAAUAUCUCCUAAGUGCUUGAUUCAAAGCUCACUGAAGUCAACAGGAGCAAUGCCAUGGACUUUAAUUGUCUUUGGAUAAUGCCACAACAGCAUAUUAUAUGACCUUUGUUACAGCUCUCACUUGUAGUAUAAAUCAAGUUCUUCAACAGCAACAAAACCUAACUAGUGCCCAACUUUAUUAGACAACUUACUGAUUUAAAAGACUGCCCUAAAGUAUCCUGAUGAGCAGUUCUGUUCCAGCUUUAUUAGAAAGUCACCUCUGCAGGUCUCAGAGAAGUGCAACAUAAGAGAAUGUCUUAAAGCAGACAUCCAACUGG